UACGUAGGGGGCAAGCGUUGUCCGGAUUUAUUGGGCGUAAAGAGCGUGUAGGCGGCUUUACAGGUCCGUUGUGAAAACUCGAGGCUCAACCUCGAGACGCCGGUGGAAACCGUAAGGCUAGAGUCCGGAAGAGGAGAGUGGAAUUCCUGGUGUAGCGGUGAAGUGCGCAGAUAUCAGGAGGAACACCAGCGGCGAAGGCGGGCACCUGGGCCAUCACUGACGCUGAUGCGCGAAAGCUAGGGGAGCAAACAGG
rnacentral:rRNA from 1 species